AUGCACGCUGGCGGCGUGCCUAAUCCAUGCAAGUCGAGCGAACAGACGAGGAGCUUGCUCCUCUGACGUUAGCGGCGGACGGGUGAGUAACACGUGGAUAACCUACCUAUAAGACUGGGAUAACUUCGGGAAACCGGAGCUAAUACCGGAUAAUAUAUUGAACCGCAUGGUUCAAUAGUGAAAGACGGUUUUGCUGUCACUUAUAGAUGGAUCCGCGCCGCAUUAGCUAGUUGGUAAGGUAACGGCUUACCAAGGCAACGAUGCGUAGCCGACCUGAGAGGGUGAUCGGCCACACUGGAACUGAGACACGGUCCAGACUCCUACGGGAGGCAGCAGUAGGGAAUCUUCCGCAAUGGGCGAAAGCUUGACGGAGCAACGCCGCGUGAGUGAUGAAGGUCUUCGGAUCGUAAAACUCUGUUAUUAGAGAAGAACAAAUGUGUAAGUAACUAUGCACGUCUUGACGGUACCUAAUCAGAAAGCCACGGCUAACUACGUG
rnacentral:rRNA from 1 species